AAUGAACGCUGGCGGCGCGCCUAAUACAUGCAAGUCGAGCGAGAAGACGUAGCAAUACGUUUGUAAAGCGGCGAACGGGUGAGGAAUACAUGGGUAACCUACCCUAGAGUGGGGAAUAACUAGCCGAAAGGUUAGCUAAUACCGCGUACGCUCCUUGGACUUCGGUUCAGGGAGGAAAGCGAUACCGAGGGUAUCGCGCUCUUGGAUGGGCUCAUGUCCUAUCAGCUUGGGUGAGGUAACGGCUCACCAAGGCUUCGACGGGUAGCUGGUCUGAGAGGACGAUCAGCCACACUGGCACUGCGACACGGGCCAGACUCCUACGGGAGGCAGCAGUAAGGAAUAUUGCGCAAUGGGCGAAAGCCUGACGCAGCGACGCCGCGUGGGGGA
rnacentral:rRNA from 1 species